rnacentral:rRNA from 1 species
UGAUUUUCCUCGGAACUGAAGAUUUGGUGAUUGAGCGGCGGACGGGUGAGUAACGCGUGGGUAACCUACCCUGUACAGGGGGAUAACAGUCAGAAAUGACUGCUAAUACCGCAUAAGACCACAGCACCGCAUGGUGCAGGGGCAAAAACUCCGGUGGUACAGGAUGGACCCGCGUCUGAUUAGCUGGUUGGUGAGGUAACGGCUCACCAAGGCGACGAUCAGUAGCCGGCUUGAGAGAGUGAACGGCCACAUUGGGACUGAGACACGGCCCAAACUCCUACGGGAGGCAGCAGUGGGGAAUAUUGCACAAUGGGGGAAACCCUGAUGCAGCGACGCCGCGUGAGUGAAGAAGUAUCUCGGUAUGUAAAGCUCUAUCAGCAGGGAAGAAAAUGACGGUACCUGACUAAGAAGCCCCGGCUAACUACGUGCCAGCAGCCGCGGUAAUACGUAGGGGGCAAGCGUUAUCCGGAAUUACUGGGUGUAAAGGGUGCGUAGGUGGUAUGGCAAGUCAGAAGUGAAAACCCAGGGCUUAACUCUGGGACUGCUUUUGAAACUGUCAGACUGGAGUGCAGGAGAGGUAAGCGGAAUUCCUAGUGUAGCGGUGAAAUGCGUAGAUAUUAGGAGGAACAUCAGUGGCGAAG